rnacentral:rRNA from 1 species
UUUUUGUUUAAAAUUUAAAGUAGAGCCUGCCCMCUGAAUAAUUUUUAAAGGGCCGCAGUAUUUUGACUGUGCAAAGGUAGCAUAAUCAUUAGUUUUUUAAUUGAAAGCUGGAAUGAAUGGUUUGAUGAAAAAAUAGCUGUCUCAAUUUAAAUUUUUAUAGAAUUUUAUUUUUAAGUAAAAAAGCUUAAAUAUUUUUAAAAGACGAGAAGACCCUAUAGAACUUUAUUAUUCUAAAUUAAUAAAUUUUAGUAUUUUAAAUUUAUUAUUAAUUGAAUAAUUUAAUUGGGGUGAUUGAAAAAUUAAAUGAACUUUUUUUUUAUUUAUACAUUAAUUAAUGAGUUUUUGAUCCAUAAAAAUGAUUAAAAGAUUAAGUUACCUUAGGGAUAACAGCGUAAUUUUUUUGGAGAGUUCAAAUCGAUAAAAAAGAUUGCGACCUCGAUGUUGGAUUAAAAUUAAUUUUUGGUGUAGAAGCUAGAAUAUUAGGUCUGUUCGACCUUUAAAAUUUUACA